CAAGAGGGUUCUGGCGUUUCUCUUUGCUCCCUGGUGCGUGUUUUCUCAUGGAGGAAGUGGGCUUCCUGCAAGCAGAGCUGUGCCCAGGACCAUGCCAGCCCAUGACAGGCAUUCACCCUGUUCUAACAAGUGAACAAAGGGGAGGAGUAAUUUUUUCAACAAAUGGUGCUGGGAUCUUGCAGGUACCUGAACAUAUGCAAGCUCCUGGAGGGCAGCAUGCCCAGGGAGGGCAGGUAAGCUCUGUGCCCACACCCCCACAACAAACACACACACACAUAUACAUACCCCACACACACAUACCCAACACACGCACACACCCAACACACGCACACAUACCCAACGCACACACUGAACACACACAUACACACACCCAACAUCAUAACACACACACACACCCAACACACCUACACAACCCCCAGACACACACACUCAACACACACAACACACACACAUACCCAACACACACACAUACCCAACACACAUCCCAGCAUACACAGCAUACACACAUACCCAACACACAUCCCAGCAUACACAGCAUACACACAUACCCAACACAACACACACCAACACACACACACCCAACACAUAACACUUCCAACACACACAUACACAUACCCAACACACAACAUACACAUAUACACCCCCAAUACACACAACACAUGCCCAACGCACACAACACACACAUAUACACACCAAACACACACACACACCUAACACACACAUAUACACAACACACCUCCCAAUACAUACACAACGUACACACACCCAACACCCAACACACACCAACACAACACACAUACCCAACACACACACAUGCCCAACACACACCCAACAUACACACAACACACACACCCACACACACCAACACAUACAACACACAGACACUUCCACACACCCAACACACACACAUACCCAACACACACACACUAAUACAACACCCCACACACCCCAGCACACAUACAUGA
rnacentral:lncRNA from 1 species